AUGGCGACGGCGAUGGCCGUGGCGGGAGCAGCCUGCGCCUCCCGGCCGCCGCGCCGGCGAGGACCCGCUCCGCCGGGCGCCGCGGCGGGGGCGGUGGAGAUACGGGUCUGCACGAACCGCACGUGCGCGCGGCAGGGCGGGCGCGAGGUGCUCGCGGCGCUCGAGGGGCUCUCGCCGCCCCCGCCGCGCGUCGACGUGGCGUCCUGCGGGUGCCUGGGCCGCUGCGGGGCCGGGCCCAACGUCGGAGCCACAGUCCCGGGCCGCGGCAACGCCGUGUUCGGCCACGUGGGCACGGCGGCCCGCGCCGCGCGGCUCCUGGAGCACCUCCUCGGCGCCGCCGAGUUCGACGCCGCCGCGGGGCUCGCCGCGCUGGCCCUACGGGAGAAGGCCGAGGCCGCCCUCGCCGACGGGGACGCCGCCCAGGCGGAGGACCUCUUCACCGAGAGCAUCGCAAUGGAUGCUCCUGGUGGACUGCACCUGGCCUACGGAGGCAGGUGCAAGGCGAGAUUGGUGAUUGGGGAUAGCGCCGGCGCGCUCGCGGAUGCAGAUGAAGCGAUAAGGAUAGCUCCCAAAUUUCCUCAGUGUCACUUGUUGCGAGGGGACGCGCUGUUUGCAAUGGGAGAGUACCACUACGCAGAGGAUGCGUAUGCACGCGCCUUGGAUCUUGACCCAUCUAUUCGUCGCUCCAAGUCUUUCAAGGCCCGCUUGGAAAAGCUACGGGAGAAGCUUGUCAGUGUCAGCAGUAGUUCGUCAUAG
rnacentral:rRNA from 1 species